GUGGCAGGUAGCUUAAUCGUAAAGUACCAAUUUUGCCUGAAAAGGCCGCAGAAUUAGGGUUAUCGCUAUAAAUCGAUUCCCCCCCUUAUUCGCCGGAAAUGCAGGUGCAAAUCCUGCUCUGCUACACCA
rnacentral:tRNA from 1 species